rnacentral:lncRNA from 1 species
GGCAGCAAUGAGGCAUGGAGAGAGGAGCAGGCCACCCAAAGAUUUACAGACAUUUAAAGUUUUAUUCAGACACAGCCGGGCAUGUUAAGUACUUUGGCCCGUUCUAUUAUGGCUUUUCCUUGUAACACGCUGCCUGAUGAAUACGAAGGUGUUUUCGGGGAUAAGAGCUGUCCCGCGGGAUCUGGCAUGAUGUAGAUUCUCCCGCGCAUUGUUUCCAGCGAGACAGGAGUCAUCCAUCUCUCCCAGGAUGAGCAGCGGUAAGCCUCAGCGCGGUCACCAGGUAAUGCUUUAACACCUGAGAUUGGCUGCUCUUCCUUCUAUUCAGCCUUUUUCUUCCAUUUCAUCAGCAGCAUGUUCUAAUUUCCCGUUUCCUCCACUCUCACUGUGUUCACGGAUUAGUCUGCUCCCUCCUGGCAGCCCCCUAAAGCAGCGUUUCUUUUUCCAUCACCACUCUGCUUCGUCUUCCCUCCUCUCUUAAAGCGUCUGAAAAUUGUGUUGCAUAUUUAUUCCUGCAGAAUUAGCAUCACAAACACUCUUGCCAGGCUCUUUGUUAUGCUUCAGGGGGAGGGAGAGUGAGGGGAAGUAGAUUACGCUCUUCGUUUCUCUGAGGCACACUCAAAGCGGGCUUUCUAGGCUUCCUCCUGCUUUUCAGCAGAGCUCGGGGCUUAUGGAGACGCACUCCAUCUACUUGAAGUAAAGACGGCUAUGACUUAAAAUAAUGUUGUUCCUCUUCCACUCCUGUUUAACACAUCUCUCUCACUCUCUCAGCCUCACUUUUUCUUUAAGUCUUAUUCUUCUUCUCGCGCUCAUCUGCAGCCUUAUCCCCGCGCUGACACUCGGUCCACUUUAUAUUUCAGUAAAGCUCCACGUUUGACUCAACAGUUUACAGACGGAUUGUUUAAAGUUGGUUUGAAACUUGUUGGUUGUGCUUAUAGUCAGGGGAGGGUGGUGAAGUCAGACAAAGAGUCAAGUGGAUUUAUAGAAAUAUGAGUUUAUUUACUGUUAUAAUAACUCACUCAUCUGCUGGUGAGCUGGGUAAAUUGAUGUGAAAGUUCACAUUUAGUGCAAAUAUUCCCUUGGACUCAUGCAUGAAGUGAGGAGGAUUUGAUGCUUGAAGGUUGAGGGAUCUGUGACCUCACAUGUUUCCUCUUUUACCACGUUGACCUGAAUAUGGACCUCUUUGUAGCCUACGGCAUUAAACCUAUGCAUGAGCAUUUAAUAGUAACAAUUUACUCUGUUUGUUCAGACAGACUUAAAAACUUUAAAUACUGAAUUAAAACUGUAACGAAUCUAACAUCAAAACGUCUAACUGUUGUCUAAUCUGGUGUCUGCAUACACACUGUAAUCAUGGACUUGAAGCUCUGCAGAGAUCAGACAGGAUCAUGACCCCUGGUGUUUUAGUUUCUAAGUGUAUUAACUUUUAUCUGAAUGUGUCAGUAGUUGUCAUGGUUACAACAGCUGUUAAAACACAAAAACAAUCCUUGCAAAUGCAUCCUGGUUUAAUUCUGAAGAAAAUAUCAUUUAUUCCAUAGCCAAUAUUGACAACAGCUAGUAGAGAGUCAGUUAUUGUUGUUUGCAUCUGAUGGUAUACAAUUUUAUGAUAAAAGAAAUAAUUUCAUGCAUUUGAUAAUAUAAUAACCAUACUUAUUUUACCCAGUUACCUAUUUAAAGUAUUUAUUUAAUUUAUUUUUUAAUUAAAUUCAGGAUUUCAUGACUGAUUUUUCUGUCAGAGCAAUAUACUUCGUUAUUCUACACAUGGUCACAGAAUUUGUAAUAAACACAAUCUGUAUCUGCUUAGUAUAUUUCUGUAAAGUGGAGCUACAGUCAUAGAUCAGUUAGGUGAUCUAGUUAGACUACGGUCCUCGUCCCACUCCCUGUCAGUAGUCAGUGAUAUGCUCCCCUUAAGCUAAUUACUACUGGACCAUCUCCUGGGUUGACUUGUAAUGCCACUGACCAAAAUAAUCACCAGACAAGUUAGCAAGAAGCUAACGUGCUGUAUGUUGAACAGUAACAUCACCAACAACUUUACAGCGCUGUACAUUUCAUAGUUAGGAUACAACAGCUCUGUCUUAAUUACAUCCCCUUUGUCUUCUGUUAAGGUUUUGUUUCACUGAGCAGCUUCCUUCAAAGCAUUUUUGCUGUUCAGUUUUGUUGUCAAAGCUUAAUAUGUGAUUUAAUGGGCAUGCUCAGAAGGUUUGGGCUGAUUUCAGGCAGAUAUUUGUGGUUGGGUUACUGUGUUAUCUGGGUACAUUUAGGGUUAUCUAGAGUUUUCCCUGUUUUUAUUGUGUGUUACUAAGCUUCAUAUGCUACGCUGUUGGCUUCUUUAGGUGUCUGCUGGGUUCUUACAUUUGAACCAUCAGUUUUAGCUGAUUUUUUCUUGGGUUUCUGUUUUUCUUUCUUUUUUUCUGCUUUGUUUCAUUUAUACACAUUAUCAAAGCAUGUUUUUUUUUAAGUGCUAUACUACCAGAGUUAUAAUUACUAUUAUUAAUUUGAAAAGAUAAUAAUAAACUGACUUUUUGAAUGACGUGUUAAAUCACUCACUGAUGAAGCAGCCUGCAGUGUCUGCAGAUGCUAUUUGUUUGUGAGUGCAGACAUUGACUGAUGCAAACAGUUGGAUCGUGUGUAAACUGAAGGGGCCUGAUAUAUCAAUUGGUCUUUCUCUGGCCAUACUAGCUGUAGAGAGAUGAAUAAAUAUAUCAAACUCUACAGUCUUUAAUUUAUUCUGUAUAAGGUCUUAAAACAUAGUCUGUGUUUUCUGGAGACUCUCUGUACAUGUGUUCACAAUGUUUGACAUGGCAGACUAAUGAACCCACUGGUCAGGCAUGCUCAUGUGGGUGUUUCUGACUGUUUCUGCAAUGCUGUGUGAACACAGAAAUAUUUAAAACUCUUCUGCUGUGGACAGGAUUUUAGUCUUUUUCUUUUUUAACCAUUGAGGAAAUAGACAACAGGUGUAGUUAUUUUAGUUUGUAUUUAUAGAGUAAAUCAGUGCAGCGUAGUCGUAACACUGAGUCACUUAGAGUAGUGUCCAGACUCGCAAUAGCUCAUUUUAUAGGUUGUUGUGUUUGAAAAUGUUCAUGUGAGUAAAUGAAUUGAUAUCCUGUUUCAUGUAACCGUGAAGUUUGACUUGAGCAUGAACAUGAACAAACAAACAAAAAACAAUAUUUAGUCUUUGACAAAGUCUCAUAAAUAAGUGGGUUAUCUUAAAAUCAGGGACCUCUUCUGUGCAGGUCAAUACUGUAACACAUGAUACAUCUCUGCAGUCCCUAGGAGAAAUUUACAUCCAUCUGGUUUAUGUUUAUUGUUUUGUUGUACAGAACAUGACCAUUACGGACCAUCUCCCCCUCAAAUACCUGCUAGUUCUGCUGCUGGAAGAGUUUAUACACAGUCACAGGCUCUGCACAGACACAAAGAACUACUCUCUGGUAAAAUGGACCCACUGUUAAUGAUUCCUGUCCUGUUAGAUGCACACCUGUUAAUGCUUAUUUUUUGUUGAUAAUAUCCUAAUAAAUCUCAGUCCAGUACUCUGUCACACUCUCAUUCUGCAGUAAACACAGCUGUAACCUUCAACUUCUCUUGGUGGAAGCAAACAACCAUCAAGUUUUACUCAUAUUUCAUUUAGCUUUAAUGCUAAAUGAAGUAGGAUUUCUAGAUUUUUAUUUAGCCAACAAACAAAUGUAACGGUUUAAACUGGGACAAGCUUGAGCCAAUACAGUAGGAAAACACUGUUUGCACAUGACCCAGGUUUUUGAUAUGGUCCCUGAUCAAAGGCUAAAAAUAGUCAAUCCAAAACCAAAAUGAAGAUAAAUACUGAUUGUUUUUGUGGUAACUAUAACCUCAUUUCUGUUCCUCUAUGUUUGAAAUCUGUUUGCAUGAAAACCAGCAUUUUUAGGAAUUGUGAAAUGUUUUCAAAACAUAGUUGUUCUUUUGUGUGUAGGAAUAUUGCAGGAUAUCACAUUAAAACUUAAAAAAAGAACUCUGGCAGUUUAAAAAGAAACUUUAAUCGUGUAAACUUGUCAGUGAUGCAAUAAUGAAGAUUCACUGUUCAGCUAUUAGACACAGUGACGUAUUACUAGAGGAUUGUAACAUCAUAACCACCAGAGAUGAACUUUAAAAGAAAAGAAAAAAAAAGUUUACAGAUACAUUUCCCCGACUGAAACAUUUUUACAUUAGCAAGACAAAUGUCAUACAACGUUUUAAACCUAUUAUUCUUAUUUAUAGUGUGCAGUAUUUGGUUUAAUUGAUCAUAUGCAGACAGUGUGCUUAAAAAGGAGGAGAUAAAAGCAUCACAGCUGAGUUUGGUAAAAGAAAAGUCCAUGUUUAGCUGCUUCAAACCUAAACCUGUUUACUGGACCCCCAAAUGAGAGAGCUUUAAGGUGGACUGGACCCUCCUGAGGGAGGCUUUACCUGGACCGGACUAACCUGAGGGAGCUCUUAGGAGGACUGGACAAACUUUGGAGAGCUUCGAGGUAAACUAUACCCUUGUGAAGGAGCCUUUACCUGGACUGAAAAAAAAAUUAAAAAACUGAGGGAGUUCUUAGAAGGACUGGACACUUCUGGAGGAGAUUUAAGGUGGACAAGACUUUCCUGUGGGGGCUUUAAGAUGGACUAGACACACCUGAAGGGAGCUUUAAUGUGGACUGGAUCCAUCUCAGGGAGUUGUGAUACAGAACAGGCCAGCCUGCAGAAGCUGUGAUGUAGAUUGGACCCACCUGAGUGAGCCAAAGGUGAGCUGGUGCCACCUGAGGAAACUUUGACAUAGACUGGACCCACCAGGGGAAGCUUGGCAUUUAACUGGACCAAUCUGAAGGAGCUUUGUCAUGGAUUGGACAAACUCAAUAAAGCUUUGACCAAGACUGGAAUCACCUAUAGAUAACAUAAGGUUGACUGGACUCUCCUGAAGAGGCGUUAAGAUGGUCUGGACACACCUGAUGGAGACUUGAGAAGGACCAUCAACCGAAGGGAGGUUUAAGGAGGAUUGUACCCACCUAUGAGAGAUUUAAGGUCAACUGCACCAACUUUAGGAAGCAUUUAGGUGGUUUGGAUCUUCCUGAAGGAGCUUUGACGAGAGUUUUAUGUGUAUUCUGGGAAACUUUAGAGGAGCUGUGUAAGCAGUCUUGUGGCUUUACAUGCCAGCUCAUCAUGUGACUUCCCUUAGAGGCAGUAUUUUUGGAAGUACACUGUUUAGAUUUAUGCACAGUGGAUGGUUGGACCCAAUUUUUUACUAUUAUUAGAACCUCAAUGACAAGUAUCUGAACCUUUAUUAAAGUAAAGAUUUUGCAGACUUGUAUCAACUCUGAUUCCCACAUUGUUUGUUAAUCCUGUAGUCUUCUACAGAGAUCACAACCGAUCAGUCGAUGAAUCAUGAUUUCUGUUAGGACCAGUUUCAAAGCCAGAAGAAAUCCAGGAACUAUCCAGGAAUUUGUGUCUUUGCAGUGUGUCAGCAAGUGUGCUUUUGGUGUGUGUGUGAAUGUGUAUGUAUGUGUGCGUCUGCACCAACAUAAGUCUGUCCUUUGAGUCUGCAGGAAACCACAGGGGAGAGCUUGCAGCCCACCAGGCUAAAUGAUCCUGACAGUGCUGAGGCCCCAGGGUCAGAGGGGUCUGUCCCAAGACACGCACAGUCUCAAGCAGAGCCCCCCCUACUCACUCCCUCCACCUCCGUCUAAUCGGCAUGCUGCAGGCAUCCUAAGCUCUGUCUAUACCUCCAUCCUUCCUCAUCAGCCUCCAGUCAUCCUGGUAAACUCCUCACCUGACCCUGAUUUACCCCCGCCCUGCUUGUCUCGUGUUCUCCGCAGAAGCAGUGAGGGGGUCAGGUUUCCCUUUUCUUUAUGCUCCAUUUCACCCUCUUCAGGUGGACAGUGAUGAUGAUCAGGAUGAUGUGAUGGGAAGUCUUCUUGGUUGUUGCUCGAUUUCUUAUUUCUUCUUGGUCUUUAGAAAACUAACUGUAAUCGAAUUAUGUUUUUUUACACCUAUUUUGGCAGUUUUCAUGUUUGACUGCACCUGCCAUCAUCAUACAUAUCAGCCUAUUGGUGUGCAAAUCCGGAUAGCUGUAUAUGUGCAGGUGUGUGGCCCUGAUUUUUAACCCUGCUAAGUGUUGUUUUGGGAAACAUUUCAAAGUUGUCUAUAACCACCACUGAAAAUUGGCUACAAAGUCAGGGUUUCUUUCUCAACUAUCUGGAGACAGACAUAGUCAGUCAUCCGGUUUUCCACCACCUCUGCCCUCUAUCAAUGAAUGUCAGGGGUCUUUUUUACCUUUAUAGUCUGAGCUUCAAGACCAAAGUCCCAGACUUCUUUCACAACUUCUGUGGGGAAUGUUUAAAUCUGUGCUCUUUAUGGUGCCUCGAAACCUUCAAACGCCAAGCUACUGUGGCCAGCAAGGUCAGAUGAUCUGCAAUCAUUUGACUGGUUAACAUGCGGAGAAAACACUGCACAUGUUCAGUCAGUGCACAUUGAGAUAACACAUGCAUGAGUCCCAUUUAACCAAAGCUUGUUAGCACCACUUUUCUCUAACUUUGACCUUUUUUCAUGCAGUAAGUUCUAUUGCAGGUAUGGCUGUGUUCUGAGAGAGCUUCCUGACCUUCCCCAUGCGUAUGUGGGAUGCCAAACUCUUUAAUAAUUAUAAUAAAGAUAAUAAUUAUAAUACAUGUUAUUUAUAUUGCGCUUUACAGCUGAUAAAACAGAUCUCAAAGUGCAUACAGUGAAAGGCAAGCUGCUUUCCAAAAUUUAAUUUGUUAUAAUAGAUUUCUAUGUCAAAGGGAUGUAAACCACAUCUGUAAAAUAACAGAAAAAUGCUUCAGGAGUGAAAGUAAUCACUUUCACUCCUGAAGUUAACUGUUUAUUAAAAAUAGUAAGAAAAAGAGGUGUCUUAAAACACCAAGAUGCAUUUUUAUAUUUUAAAGUGGUGACAUUAGGUCUUAAUGUCUGAAAAAUAAUUCUUUCUUCUUCUUUUUGUUUUUUUUUUAACUAGAAUUUUAUCCGGCUUAGAAAUCCCGGUCAGAGCUCACUGAGGGUGGAUAGAGAUUUUGUAAGACUGGGACUUUCUGUUGCGUUUAUUCAGAGUUCAACUUAAAUCUUGUCAAAGUCAAAUAAAUAAAACACUCAUGGAAGAGCAUCUCUGAAGCUCUGUGCUCAACAUGUGGUCUGACACUGGUUUGCGUUGUCCGUGCUGAAACAGCUGUUGAAAUAACAGUUGGUGGUUUCAGUGGGAGUUUCUUACUGGAACUGUUUGUGGGCGGCUGAAUACCAUCAGUGCCCACAGCUUUUGGUUUGGGUUUCUAAACAAACAAGUUUACAUAAAGCUUCAAACCUCACAGCUGCACCAGGAAACGACACACAGUCACUGCUGUGUGUACCUAUAAACCAAAAUAAGAAUGAGCUUACCUUUCUGUCUGGGGUUUGAUGUAACAAAGACUCUGUGUGCAUGUCGUUGAGGAACCUUGAAUGUUUGUGAGGCAGUAGUUGAACUUUUGAUGCUGGGUGUAACAUCUUUACUCGUAUGAAUGGGAAGAGAGAAAAAAAACACAGGAAUUUCAGCAGAGUCAUCCUCCUGUAAAUUCCCCUGAUGCAAUCAUCAGAUAUGUAUGUCAUUACGGAACUUUCUGUCACUUUCCAGGAAUCCCUUGGACAAUGAAAUAUUUUGCAGCAGCAAAUCUUCAACAGGGAUCCUCUAAAAACAGGACAGAAACCUCAUCUAGUUCACAGCAGUGAGCUGGGAGGAGAAGAGGGGGUUUAGAGACAUACAAACCAUGUUUGAACUGAUAAUGAGGUAAAUAACUCAAAGGAUAGUUCAUUAAGAGAGCACAGUGACAGUAUAAUCAGAAAUAACAUGUAUAUUGCAAGAUUAUCUUUUUUCAUUUAUCCUUUAGGCUCUAUGACUUUAUUUUGAAAGGACAGGGCAGCAGACGGAGCAGGAAACAGGGAGUGACAUAUAGGAAAAGGCUGCAGGCUGGAAAGAAACCUGGGAAAUCCACUUGAGAAUCAUGACCCCUGUGCAAUGGAUUCAUGCUUAGACUGCUUGACUAUUGAUGCCUCGCUACAGGGACAUUUUUAUUGUUUCUAUUUUAUUUUGCCAGUUUAAAAUUCAAAACUGGGUUUAAACAUUUGGAAUUGUUACGUUCUGUAUCAUCAGACAGUUUUUAAAUAUCCAACCUGAGUUGUUUGGUUUGUCUUGGGAUUUUGAAGUUAUAUCACAAUCCAUACCAAUAAAGUUGACUGACAAUCAUAGUUUAAAAGUCCAGAAGUGAUCAAUCAAGCUCAAAUAACUUUUCCUGUCAAUAGUUAUGCAUGUAUCUAAAGAAAGUUUAAGUUAAAGUAUCUACAGAAAGAAACUCAUCCUGCCUGAUAACUUCCUCCUCACUUCCUCCUUACUCUAAAAAGUGUAACUGGGCAAAAUUAAUAUUUACAAAUGAAAUACUGAUAACCUAGAAAAAUGACUGUGUACAGUUUGGGAAAUUAUUAUGUUAAUCUAAUCAAUUUUGAAUCAUUUAUCAGUUGCAUUUUUCUUAUUUUUAUUGUAAUAAUAUGAGCUGAAAAUCACAGUAUAAUUCACUUAUAAUUUAUCAGUUAAAUCAACAAUGUUCAAAAAUAAAUAAAUGCCACUCAGUGGAAACUAUUUGGUUUUAAUCCCCGUACACUUCAAAUCUAACCAAUCAUAUGAAGUGCCAUCUGUUGCCUUCAUUUUUUUUAAGUAGACAAUGGUCAGACUUUUCUGAGUGUACCAAACUUCACCGGCAGAGCUCUGAACAGAGAGACUUCAAGGUGAGAGAUGAAUUUUCACUCAGCUCUUUCACAGUCUGAUCCAAACACACUCUAAAAUUCAGUGUAAAGAAACAGCCAAUCUAUCGGUGUUGAGCUCGUCAUGUUAUAUAGGUCAUAGUCCAAGAGUAAUUGGUAAACAUGGUCUCAGAGUGUUUCCUUGUUCUCCGUGUGUAAAGAGUCUGAGUGCACACUGUGUGUAUUUGCCUGUGUAUUUGCCUGGAAAACAAAUGUCCAUUAUCUUGAGACAGCUCAUGCAAAAGUUAAGGAAAGCAGCCGCCCUGAAGUUGAGUUGUUGUUAGUUUGAGCUUAACAGACUGAAGUGGGGGAGUCAUGUGACAACCUGCAGAGUGGAGAAGAUAAAAACGAGUCAGUUUCUACUGAUGAAGCACAACUCAGAAGUGUUAAACAGGAACAGACAGCUACAGUGCUGCACAGGCUUAAAACAAUGUAAUUCCAGAGGCAAAGUUUUUUCUGAAAUAUAUGCGAUAUGAUAUUUCAGUCUCCUUCAGCAGGUUAAAUGUAAAGGUAAAUAAAUGUUUGUCGAUUAAUACAAAUACUUUCCCUCCUUGUGCUGCAUGUUUCAGCACAGUUCACACAGUCUUAUAUGUCUCUGUGGUCUUUCCAUACAUGAAAACUUCAUUUUCUGCUCAGUUAUUUUAUUUUUGUGCACAAGAAAUGACUUACAUUAUUACCAAUAAAAACACACACCUACAGUAUUUGUUGUUGCACACAAAACCUGGAGAAAAAUCUGUGCUGUACAAACAGGGCUGAAAUGUUCCUCUAUCUGAUGUUCUCUAUAACCUGUGGCCACCUUCAGUUUUCAUGCACUUGUUUCAUUUCUAUUGUAACGUGCAUUCAAACAGGCAGCCCUCUCUCCACACACACACCACCAUCUAUACAGACCCGUCUGUGCAAACAGGGCGAGACGACUCUUAAUGUAGCGUGAAGCCUGACAGCCAAACAUCAGCGAGGUCACAAACAGCAGCUAAAGCAAUUUCCUGCGAGUGCUCGGCAGCUCCUUUGAAUAGCUCAUUCACAGACAUGAUUUGGAUGCAAAUAAAAGCUAACAAUGCUCAGUGUGUUUGUGGAGGGGCUGCUGGAUGGAAAACAACUUUUUAAAUACUCUUUUUUUUUUUUUUUUUUUUUUUUUACUUUAUGUGCUUGUAAAAGAGAUUAUAAACUUUAAUGUCCACCAAACGACAAAGCUGUAGGGAGAAAAUCUGACAGAAACGUGCUUAAAAACAGCCGACAGAAGAAAUAAUGGACAGAAUAAAUGACCCAUACUGUUUUAAAUGAGCAGACUAAAGCAACAAAGUGAAGAUAAAUCAGUCAGAGCGGCUCCCUGAUCAUUAUGGAUCUGCAAAUAUUUGAAAAUGACUGUACACAAACAGAGUUCAAUAGAUGUUAAACAUGUUCACUUAUGGGCUGUGAAACAUUUUUUUUAAACUUCAAAUAGCAGUGUUUUCUCAUUGUUGAUUUGAGAACACAAUUAUCAAUAAAUAUCAAAUGGUACAUCAGUUUCAGUAGACUGUGAUUCUUUUUGUAAGCCAAGAAGAGUUGAAAUAAAAGAUUUAUAAGAUAGAAAAAUAUAUAUUCUAUAUUUGUGGAUUAAAGGUGUAAUUCACCUUAUCUUUCAAAAUAUUGUUAAAAAAUCAUGCUAAUUUGUAAAUAGGCUGAUAGAACUGUGCUGUUAGUAACUGAGCUGUAAGUCUCUCAAUUUUAAGGAAAAUGCAACAUCAAGUAACUUAAACAGGACCGAUCAACGAUGCAGCCCCAGCUAGGCCAGUAUGUCAAACAAUUUUUUACAAUAGAUUAUGAUCCUGCUAUAGGAUGUUCCAGCGUAAAAUUAAGUCAGAGUCAAACACACCGUAACACCGAGUUAACACCCCGUCCAGAGAUAAAUAUUGCAGACGACUUGCUUCUCUAGUUAUACCAACUUUAGUAAUGACCGCAGAUAGUAAUACAACUGCUUGGGGAUGCGCAGCUAAAGGAAGAACAUUUAUGAUCAUUUCCUCAUGGAAAUGCAAUCAGACUGAGACACUAAGGCAGAAGAACUACUGUGUCUGCAGUGCAAAUUGAUUAAUAUGAUGAUUAUUACUCCAAGGAAAUGAAAAAGUAAUGAUCAGAAAUGUUCGUCUUUGAGCUGCGCACCCCAGCUGCAUUAGGCAAACUCACCCAGAGGUCUCCAUACAAACAAGCGGCUGCUGGAAGAAAGGAGGUGAGUUGUGUUUAGUCUCUUUGCUAAAGAAAUCAGGCAAAGUUAAAAAGAUAUUUGGUGGCUAGUACUAUGACUAGGACCCUAUAUGUACUGUUGAUGAAGGUAGGUGCUGUUCUGAGCAUUAUUUGUGACUAUAGAGUGGCUUUUUGGUUGAGCAUGUGGAUCUGCUGUCAUUACUAAAGUUGGUAUAACUAGAGAAGCAAGCAGUCGGCAACAUUCGUCUCUCGACAGGGUGUCUAACUCGGUGUAACCGUGUGUUUGACCCUAACUUAAUUUUACGCCGGAAAAUCCCAUGGAACAUCACCAUGCUAUAUUGACAGUCGAUUGUGAUAGUGGACCAAGAACCACAGGAUGUGUUAGGCUCAAGAGAGUGAUUUUUAUCUUCACUGUGGUUACAUGGAUGAGUGUGUUUAGUGAGGGCCAAGAGAUUAAUGGUAUGUAUGUGUGUGUGUAAGAGAAAGAGAGAUUGUCUACCCAAGACAAAAACACAGACCUAAUCUCUUUAUGAUUGGUGUCCAUGUGGAUCGAGGAUGACGGUGAAGGAUCACAGGAGCUUCUACGAGCUACAAAUCCAAGCUGUCCGAUAUUCCACCUCCAUACAGCUGGUUUAUGGCAGCCUUCAGCCUCUACCUCUGCACAUGGUGUCUCGCUAACAGCUUAUCUUUUACUACUGUGUGCCCAGCAUGCAGCAUUCUUGAUUUUAUACACCUCACAACAUGAUUAAGAAACGACAUCACCUGACAUUUAGGAAUAGCAUGCUUGAGCAGAGAGUCCAUAAAGGACUGCAAUGGAGAGGAGACUCUUAAGAUCAUCAGUGGCGUGGCUGCCUCAGCUCCCCCACAGUGAUUGUGAUUUGACACAUUACCUGACUCUUCAUCAGCAGACUGGCCAGGAAAGCUCAGUUUGUCAGUGAGCUACGGUAGGCUGUUGAUGAGCUGUACCUGGAUGUUUAGGUGAUUUCAUGUUAUUGUUGCAGAGAAAAGCUAUUGCCCAGAAACAUCCAGCAGGUGAUCCAAAUCAAGGGUUUCGUGUCUGAGUUUCAGGAUAAAUCUUGCAAGCAUCAAGUACAGCACAAAAAAAACCCUUUACAACCAUGGUAACAUUAAUUCAAUCAAAGAUUGCACUUAAAUAUAUUGGAGAAUAUGUGCAUUAUAUGACAGUUAAUUUUUAACUUGGAUCCAGUCAGAGGGGGAAAUGUUCACCUCUGUCUUUAAUCCCUUAUACAGUCCAUGAUAACAGGAGUUUAAUAUGAGGCUUCUUUAAAGCGACAGCAGAGACUUGAUUCAAAUAAAAUCACUCCUGAGAUGGAUCCUGUGCAGGGCCUACAGCAAAAUAAUGUUUACACCCGCUUAACAACAUAUUUCAGCACAGUUAUGAAUCCAGCUGAUGAUAAAACACCAUCAUUUGCAUCGCAGCAUUUAAUACAGGUAUAAUACAACAUGCAGUGCAAGCCUGAGGCAGACAUUUAUAGCAUGUCAGCUAAGCUCCCUCCGGGCCUGUAACUGUUGAGGAACUCAUCCUGAAGCUUUUAACUAUCAUUAUGUUUAAUAUGCACACCUUGAUACUUUGCCAGCUUUAUUUAGAUAAGCUUCAAACGGCCUCAGAGCACAACAAAGUUGUCAGUAAUGUUGGAGAAACAUUCACUUUAGUGGAUCUGAGCGCACUUUGAAGCAGCACUGCCGCUAAGCGAGAGCGAAGAGAUCAGAGCUGAAAUUAAAGGCAACAGCAGAUCUUCGAAGGCUGUCUUCACUUUGUUUGUUUCUCCUCUUCCCUGCACACUUCAUUAAUCUCUCACUGAAUUCAGACCGGAGUUUGUUAAAUAUCACUCGACAUUUAUUUAGGUUUCACAUUACUUCCUGAGCUACACUGAUCAGGCCGUUUUCAGGUCUGUCUGUGCUAUUAGGCUUUUUUUCCUCAAAGAUGAUCAGGAGUCAGGAAGUAAAACAAGAGUUAAGAAAACCUCAUUCAAAACCAGUUAUAUUUCCUUUUUAAUGAGAAUAAGAAGACUUCAGGGCCCUAUUAAAACUAUCUAAAACAUGCAGUGGUAUAAGCAGGUGUUACUAUUUACACAGCAGAUUUCAACCUUUGCUGGGGCUGGUAGAUUGAACUAUGAGAACCAGUCUGCACACACAGUGGAGCUUCAUGUGCAGCUGAAAGUUUGACCUCUGCUUGGAUCACUGCUGUCAAUGGGAAACAAAGGGAUUUCUAGUGUUGUUGAAGGUCACACUUACAGCUAGCUCAAGUUUCAUCCACACAGUUUAAAAUGACGAGUUCAUGUUCAUUUUGUUUUAGCUGCACCUAAAGUAUCCAUCAGCAGAGCCUCAUAGACCUUCAUUCCUAAUCCUCAAUCACUAAAACUUUAAAGUUUUAUCAAAUUCUACUGUAGAAUCACAGACAGAAAUUUAGUAUAGAAAACCAAGAAAAUUAUUUUUCAGUGUGUCUCACCAAUCAGUCAUGGUGAUAAAUCUGAAACACUGAACAAAGACAAUCUCAAAAAAGCUGUACCUCUCUGAAACCAAACAAGGUGUGAUUGGUCCUGGUUUACACAUGAAACUACUUAAAAUCCUCCGUAAAGAGCUGCUUCAUCAGUACCCCUUAUUACAUCUACUGGAAGACAGAAGUGCGUAGCAAUGGGCGAUGUACAUAUGUCUAAGUUUGACUGUCACAACACAACAUUUAGUAACUCUUGACACCUCCUCGGGUCCAUUUAGAAAGUGGGCGGUGUUUCUGUAAUUUUAGCAGGAGUUACGCUCACAUUCUUGUUCAUGGAUUGGGAAAUGAGCUGCUCCAUUCACCAAAGUGUUAGCCUGUUUAGUGUACAUGUUCAUUUUAGCACGUUCACGCACAUCACUGGGGAUCUCAUCAGCAAAGUUUUUUUUUUUUUUUUCACAGACUUACAGUUUGAUAUUUCACCAUCCAAAGUAGCUCCAUGGGUGCACAGUUACACCUGGCACCUUGUCACAGACUUAGAAUCUCAAAUCUCAGUGUUUAUGAUCGUACCAGUUUGGUAUUUGUUCUUCAUCAAGUAUUUCUCAAACUUUUAACAGUUUGUAAACUCAGUUAAAUAUUAUAAACUGUCAGAGACAGGGGCAGGAUUGAACUGAAUUUACUCUAUUCCCUUCUAUCCUGAAGCUGUUUGCUCGCAAGAACAAACACAUCUGGAAAAUUUGGGUUUUUAAUUCCAUUUAUUAUAAAAUUUGUUGAAAAGAAACUUAAUAAUCCUGUGUCCUCUUGUCUUGGUUUCUUACACAAGUAGGUAGCUGUAUUUGAUAAAUAACAAUCACUCUGAGGUCGCUUGAAGUAUCCUGCUCUAGUCCAAUGUUAUACUCCAGCUAACACUCUAUUUCAAAGCAGAGUCCCCUCCUGACUCAGGACCUGCUGUUUUGGUUCCAGGUGUCUUUGAAGAAUCUCAGGUUGAGGUGUCCACUUCCUGGAUCCUUCAAAGAGGACUGCUGCUCAGCGUCACUCUCUCCUUAAUGAAUAUCUGAACAUCACAGAGCCUUCCCAGCACCAGGAGCAGGUGUGUGGCGAGGAGGCCGGGAGUCCCUGCUCUCCUGAAAAACUGUUUCAUCAAAUGUCAGAGGACUGUGAACAUCUGUCCGCCUCCAUCAGCGGGGCCUGGUGUUCUUUGAGGUUCCUGUGCUUCUGCAGAACUCAUCUAUUCGCUCAGACCUGCAGACAGCGACAGGAGCGUCCUCUCUGCACACUCUCUGCUCUAAUAGAGUAAACAGCAGCGGAUAUCUGACGAAUAUUUGAGUCUGUUUACAUGCAGCAUCAAAAGUAAACUACAACAUGUCCAAAAAGUUAGGAAUCACAGGGAAUGGAACAGUUUCCAGCGCUGCACGUGGGACCUGAACACAGGUUUGCAGCAGGAGAUGAGAAACCCUGAAGCCUCACUUUGCUCAGCUGUUUGACAGCCGUUAUGAGGAGAAGGCCGUGAACAUAUGGACCUAUUUAUCCAUCUGAAUCCAAACACUUCUGACACUGUUUAACAUCAUCUAUUGGCUCGUUCUGCACUUCUUAAACUGACAUGAGGAACGGCUGUACCAAUAACGAUCAAAUCAGAGCAAAAUUAACACUAUUCCAACAUUUAUUGACUCAAGAUUACUCUGCUAAUCACUGCUUUACUUAGAGUCAGAGAAACAGCUUUUCAUCUUCAACAUAUGGAGAAAGUGAAGUAUGACGGAUGACAUGAAUGUUAUCUUAGUAGUUAGCAAGAAAUGUCAAAAAAAUUAAGCUUUAUUGGUGUCUCUUCUUAUAGUAAGUACAGAAAAAAUGUGAUUAAACUUUUUAAAGAUUUAAAUGAUACUGGAAGCUUACCUAAGCAAAAAACAAAGAGAUUUAAUGGCAUUGUUUGCCAUGCAGUGCACAGAGUGAGAGCCAAUCAGCUCCUCUGGACUGGUUGAAAGGAGUUCUGAUAUGUUGGAAAUUUUGAUUAGCCAAUAGCGUCCUCUCAGGCAAGAUUUAUUUGACCAACUUUAGAGGCCGUAUAACCAAACAGACAAUUGAAAAAAUGCUCAUAGUUACAAGUUUUUAAGAAAGUUUGAAGAGAAUUGUGAAAUUUUCUAAGGCCUGUCCACACAGUUGCUGAUAGUUUUGUAAACCUUUUUUUUAUAUGUUUUGGCUUCCUAUCCAAACAUAAACGUUGUUUGCAUGGAGGUUGAAAAUGGAGGUUUCUUUUUAGUCAUUUAGUGUAUAGAAAAUAUGAAAAUGAUAGUAAAUCUUGGUUUUCUUGUUCAUGCUGAUUGUCAUGCCAGUGUGCCAAGAUGGCAGGCUGCUGGUUUGUCUAAAAUAGAACACACACUACAAGAUAACUACACCAAUUUUGGGCCUAAUUCUUUUCUUCCAAGAAAGGUCAGCAAAACUCUGAUUAUCACAUGGUGGUAAAGAUUAUCUUGACAGAUUAUUUUGCAGUGUGAGGUGCCUUAAGGGAUUUUUCUACUCUCUAAUCUGUGUGACAGACUGCGCUUGUUGAUACACGUAGACAACACCAGUGUUAAAAACAUAUGCUGUUUUCGGCGGGAGAGUCGCUGUGAUGACACUCAGUUCAAAUAGCGAAUCCCCCAGGUGAGCUACACAAUCUUUGUACGCACAUAGGCUGUGUCAAUCAUAGAAAACAUGAACCCCUUAAUAACUUUUUAAAAUGGAGCUGCACAGAAAAAAAGGACUUGAGCACAAACCAGUCUCACAGUAACUACAUGUCAACAUCGUAACCAGGGGGGAGAAAAAUUUAUAUUCUGUGUCAUAAAUUUCUAAAGUUUGUCCACAACUCUAUAGGGAUUGCUGGAGGAGGCGGGAUUUAUGACCUAUACUGCGGUCCAUCACCAGAGGGUGCUGUUCUCGCAGUGGCUCCACCAAGCUAGGAGGCAGACGGCGUCCAUUCUAUAUACAGUCUAUGGUUAAAACAGUCCAGUAAAAUAUAUCACAGCUGAAAUGACAAGAAGAGGAGUUAAAUAUCAUAAAUAAUAAUUGCUUCCUUAAUGUAAGUGCCAGAAAGUUAAGCAGCUAUUAGUGGUAAGCUCCAUUCAAAAUCAUGAUAUUUAAUGAGAAACUACUAAUUUAUCAGUUAUGAGAGUCAGGACUCAAGUCGCUGGUGAAAAGGGUCCAUUUGUGUGUAGUGUGCUGUGUUUACCAUCUUGUUGCACAUGACACACAACAGGAACAAAACUAAGACAUCUUACCUCAUGUUUGUAAUAUGUGUUUCAUUGACUGUGUGUAUAAUUUUAUACGAUAUGCCAGCAUCAGGAGGAUAUAUGGUGACUUUACACUCAUUUUGGGGCCUUUUCUUUAGAAAUAUGAUGAUGCAUUGCCCCUGUAAAUGUCUGUGCAUGUCCCUGCCUUUAACAGUAGGACUGUGGGGAGUGCUGGUGACUCCUUUUAACUGGAUCUAACUGUCGGCUCAGCCUGCAUGUAAAGUUCAUCCAGUCCUCAGAGGAGCAGAGAGCUGCCAUAAAGCCUGAGCAGCUUUACCACCAGAGCCUCUGUCCUCCAUCUGUGUGACCUCAGAGCUCAGACUGAGGAAAAACAACAAUAAACCAACAAUCCUCCCUCUGUUAACAGUCAUCUGUGAAGGUCAUGAUGCUGCUUUAAUCCUAUUGGCUCCAUCCAUCCAUCCAGCAGUGCCCGGCUGGCCUGACUCUGCCUCUGUCUGUCCAUCCCUCAGGCUGGCUCCUGCUCUGUCCUUGGAUGGUGUGUUCACACUGCACAGCUAGUGUGAGCACAGCAUCCACACAUGCACUGACACACAUGCACACAGUGACACAUGUGCACAUGCAACGCACACGCUCAGAUCAGUCAUGGCCCCGGGGAGCCAGAGGUGCGAGCCAGAGGCGUUUCUAUCUCGUACAGCUCUAACAGCCACUGUGUUUAUUCCUGGACCAGUUUAACACCUCCUGCUUCCCUCUCCCCAUCCACCCAUCCACUCAUCCAUCCACAGCCCACUGGGAGAGAGAACGCAGGAGGGUGGUGGUGUGAAAACACUGAGCAUGCUCUAUGACACAUAUGCCUGCCUGUGUCAUCCUGUGCGUGCGUGUGUGCGUGCGUGCGUGCGUGCGUGUGAGAGAGAGAGAGAGCUUUCAAAGGAUCUGAGCUGGGGUUUGAUUUCCUCUCACCAAACCCUCCAACAUCACUGGGUGCUAUUCUUAUCUCAGCAGUUGGGAUGAAGGAAGAUUGCUCGCCAUUUGUCCCUCCUGAUUGGACGUCAGGCAGGAUAAACCCUCCUAUCACCGCCUCAGGCCUGGCUAAGCACCCUUAGACUCAGACUGUGUCGCUGGAUAAAGUGAUAUGUGCUCCAGCAAGCAAAGCUAACACUGAUACUCCAGUUUGUGAAGCAUGAAUACAAUACCUUUGACCGGAAUUCAAUUUAGAGGGGAUUUCUUUCAGUGAUAGUUCAAAUGAAAGGAAUUCUGUGUAUUACUAUUGCAGUGUGAUGGAUGGCUUCACCACCCUCUUGCAGUCUUGGUCAUUUACAGUGUCUUACAUCACGUGAAGUGGUAAUCUGCUCUGUGCUAUAACCAAGCAAAAUGUGACAUUCAUUUUGGAAAUCAUGGACGCUGCACUCUCCCCAUUGUUGAGAGAAGAAGGAUCAGCCAGCUUGGUAUCAGCUUUCAGGUCAGAGCCAGCAUCCCUUAUGGUUUGGGGAUCAUCAGAGUUGAAGGCUCCAUUAAUGCUGAACAACGUUUACAUAUUUAGGAACAUCUGCUGCCAUUCAGACAAUGAUAUUUUUUCAGGGAAGACCUUCAUAUUUUAGCAAGACCAUGACAAACCACAUUCCGACAACAGCAUGGCGCUGUAGAUGAAGAGUCCUGCUGAUAAACUGGUCCUAACUGGUCCAGGUGACCCACUGAUAAAAUUUGGAGCAUCAAGACACAAAAGUACCUUUUUUUAAAUGAAUUAAUUACUUUUUUAAAAUAUGUUAUGUAUUAUUUUUUUUUCACUUUCAACAUCUCUUACAUGUGUUUUCUAUUGUUUACAACUAGGUAAAGGCUUUAAAUAACAUGUAAACAAUUUCAUUAUUUUUUGACACAUGACAAAUGAGACUACAGACUGUUAAAUUUGCCUUCGGGGAUAAAUCACGUUAUUCUUAUUCUUACACUCUGUUUUCACACAACAUUUUAACUUUGAAUUUAAGGUUAUAUUUUCUAGUAGUUUUGUUGACGUUUAACUGCAUUGAUAUAAAAGUUUGUGAAGUUUUUGUAAAUGGAUGUUCAAGUUGAAGUAACUGUUCCUCAGUGAAAAAAUCACACCAAUUUCAACAAGUACCUUUCUUUUAAUUAUUGCAUCCACUUCUUGUUAAAGUAAUUUCCUGGUGGCUCUGUAUUGUACAUGUGAAGUGAAACAAGAUUAUUUCAGGGAAUAAUUUGCCAUCUUGUCUUCAAGUUGAUCACAAAUAUACAGACAAAAAUAAUAAAUACAGCAAAGGUUAUAUGCAACAAAUGCAAACAAACCCACAAAUGACUGAAAAAUUUGGCUUUACAUGGAUCUGUCUGCAGAAUUUCAGUUAGACAAGCCAUGUAGUGGAAAGUGUCUCACCUGUAACCUAUGAAAGUCUGCUUGUUUCUGUGAUUCAGAGCCCUGUCGCUAUGUGAGGAUUAAUCUGCAGAGACUGUUGGACCUGACUCUAAAAUAGAGCCAACUGGUAAGGGAAAGACUGCAAAAAGUCUGUCCUAAUGUGGACCGAACACUGUCCCCAACCUUUCCUCCAUGAUGGAUGGAGAGGAGCUGCAGGUUGACCACAGGUCAGCAUCAUCUCAGCUCUUUCACUGCUCAGACACUGCAGAGAAGAAACCAGGACAUGGAGGUUAACAUCUCAUGUCUCUGGUUCCAGGUUUGGUCUGAAUACAUCGCUCUUAUCUGUGACCUGUUCUCUGUAUUGAUUAUUUCUGCCCAUCAGUGCAGCAGAGCAGGUCCAAUCAAACCUUAAUGCACGGCUGGAAGUAAACUAACCCUGUUAGAGUCUAAAUUUAGUUCAUAAAAAGCUGCUCAGUCACAGCGGGGAAUGCUCUGUGUGGUACUCUGAGGUAAAUUCAGCCCCAAAAAAUUGAAAAAUAAAAAACUCUGUAAAUGUCUAACUAAAAACACUGUUAUCUGCUGCCAAUGAUCAGUCAGGCUGCAGUUUGGAGACAUCAGUUAUUCCCAGAGUGACAGUGGAAAUGUGGCAGAGGGAUGAACUGGCCUUUUUUUUAUAUUAACCUGAAAACAAACCAGAACAUAAAUAGACCACUGUUCAACAGGAGGGGUCUCAUUUGUUUACAGGCCCGACGGAUCACCCAAGAGCAUAUUUCUGUCCCUGUUGGUUUGGAAAGCACGGUGCUGUCAGCAGGAGACAUGGAUACACACUGAGCAGAAAAGAUGAUCGAUCCAUCGUGACAUGGGGAUUUUCAGUUUAGAGUCAUGGAUAAACUGUGACACUGUAAACUGUGGUUAACCUUAAGCAGCAUGAGAGUGCAAAAGUGUUUCCAUGUUUUUUGUUUGUUUGUUUGUUUGUUUCAGUUUCUAACUAGGAAAAUGGGCUCUAUUUUCGUGAGCCCAUCAAGAGAUGUGUGAAGACAGUAAUGCCACACGAUAGCGACAGAAGGCAGUUCCUCAACAAGUGUCGCAAAAAAUGUGUUCACCUAAACACUGACGCGUGGACACCAUUGGAACGCAAUAAGUUAUUGCAUAUAAAUUCUUGAGUUAUAAUUUUAUUUGAGAAUAAGCAGGUACCUUGGAUUCCCUACAUUAAUUUCCAAGGAGCUUUCCGGUCUUCAGUCUGUGUCAUUUGAAGUUGACUCUGAUCUGAUUUUGUGCACGACAAACAACACACCACUGUGCGUUGUUUUUCUGGCCAGUGUACACAGGGUCAUGGGAGCCGAUCAGCUCUUCUUGAGCAGUCAGAUGAAUUUCGAGCAUAUCUGCAAAUUUGGUCGGGUUACUGUACCCUCUCUCUCUCUCUCUUAUUCACAAUGAGGGCAGGGAUACAACCUGAUUUACCCAACUUCUGGUCUGCCAGUGUCUGAAAAUGCCAUGGCGACGGACUUCAAUUUUUGAAACCCUAAACUCUAAGACAAAACUACAAAGGAGUCGUAAUACAUACAACAGAGGCAGACCAGCAACAAUACAGACAAUACACUCUAAAUGAUCAAUGACAAUUUAAAUGAAAAGAGAUGUAUAAGAAUGUGGCAUGUCAGUGUAACUUCAAUAGUUAUUCAAAAUUGGGGACAUGCCAUCAGUGUGGGACAGUAUUUACUUGAGUGUUUCACAUUUAAUAGAAACAUGAUGGUAACACUAGAGUGGAGGCAGGCAGAGCAAAGUCCUCCUCUUCCCUCAUACAAGCAACUAUACUGUUGAAUUCAUAGUCUUUGUAUUAAACUUGUGGGACAUUUUGUAGGAGACACUGUCAAAGCUGCUUCAUGAUUUCUACAUGAUGUGUGAGUGCAUGAAUCAGCCAUGCAUUGUAAACAUUUCACUUUUACAGUGUGAGUUCACACCAUGACUGUUAAAAUCCUAAAUUUAAUACCAGGCCUCACAUAAACUAUGACCUGAACAACCAUGGGUUCCGAAAAUCUUAGCAAAUUCCACCUCAGUACUGUUAAAAAAAACUCUCCUCUUAAGUUUGUUUUCAGAUGACUUUCUGCUCUCAACAGUCUUGUUGCCAUAGUGAUGGAUUCCAUCUCCCGACAAACCACACCCCCUUUCCCCAUUUCCAAAAAAACAGUUACUGAAAAACCAUCAGAAACACUGGUUUGAGGGGGAGUUUAAGUGUAUUUACAUGCUGCUGGAAAUGCCAAAAACAUGACUGUGUUGUGUGCAUGAACACACACACAUACUCACACAGAAACACAAACAUGCAUGCACUCUCACACUCACACACACAAACACACGUGCAUUCACACACACACAUUCCUUUUCAUUUGCAGCUCUACUCAAUCCAGAUGUGGCUGUCGGACAAACACAGACUCUGAAUGGGUUUGGCAGAAAGUGUGUGUGUGCGUGUGUGUGUGUGUGUGUGUGUGUGUGUGUGUGUGUGUGUGUGUGUGUGUGUGUGUGUGUGUGUGUGUGUGUGUGUGUGUGUGUGUGUGUGUGUGUGUGUGUGUGUUUGUGUGUGUGAAUAACUGCAGAGAAUUUCUUGCUAUUUGACAGUAACUGCAAACAAUGGGUCUGACCUCCAAACUGCUGGCAGUAAAAUCCACAAAAAAACAUCCAACACUUUUAGAAAACACUCACCACCAUAUGCCUGAGGACUGUGUGUGUUUGUGUGUGUGUGUGUGUUUGUGUGUGCGUUUCUGCAGGUCUGCCAGGAACCUAUUAAUGACUCCCGUGCUGGCGGUGGCGAUUCUACAAAGCGAUGAAGGGGCCGUCGUUUCACUCUGCAAACUCCAGAGCUCCUAGAGGAGGCUCAGGACAAGGAGAGGAGGAUUGAGAGAGGAGAGAAGAGGAAAAAAUAGGUCACAGCUGUUCUCUAUCUUUUCCCAGCUCCCCUCCUCCCCAGCACACCCACCCACUGCAAGCUCUGCAGCCAACUGAACCCCAUCACACCACCCAACACACACA